GGCGGCAUGGCCAAGUGGUAAGGCAGAGGACUGCAAAUCCUUUAUCCCCAGUUCAAAUCCGGGUGUCGCCU
rnacentral:tRNA from 3 species